ACGUACUGUCUGUUAAAUCUGCAGCGAGAUUUAAAGUAUUGGUUAUCAAUACUCCACAGUUGUUAUUGCUAAGGAAUGAGAUUAUUUUAUUGUCAGGCUGGUUCUCCUCCAGACCUCCACUGGCAAAAUGUGAAGGAGUUGCUAUAGAUUUCAGUGCUCUAGUGGUUUUUUUCUCUCUCUAAUCAACAUAACACUAUAUAACCCAUAACACCUCUAGAACUCUACCUGAUAUUUACAAUGCGAAAGCAGCCUUCUUAUUUUAAAAUAGCACCAGUAGCUCUUUUGAUUUUAUGAUUAACCUAGUCAGGAAACAUCAUAGAGAUCAGGAUAAGCUCUCACCCCUGAAACUUGACCCCUACGGACAUCUUCGUUUUCUGGGUAUUAGUAGUUAAGCACAUUCAGUGGGCUAGGCAGGUAAAUUAUUGAAUCUUCACUAUGUUCUGGGAAUUAAAAAGAUAAAAAAGACAGAUGUCUGGACUUUUGUUGGAGGAAAUUGGCAUGUAAACAAAACAAUUUCAAAUCUGUGUGUUAACUGCUGGGAGAGAGAUAUGUAAGAGGCACAGUGGGUUUCUGUUGUUGCUGUUUUUUGUUAUUUUGUUUUUAACAGAUGGAAUAAUCCAUUUUUGCCUGGGGACAGUGAAAGGACAGAGGAACGUCUCAUUAGAGAAGGUGUUUGACUUGGACCCUGAAGAAUUUUGCCAGGUGGAGAUAGAGAAAGACUCUAGCCAAGGAAAAGUUAAUUUGAAAAGGCAGAGAGUCAGAAGAAAGCAAACCCUUUUUUCCUUCAUGGCAAAUUUCUCAAAACGGAAUUGCUGGAUCAAAGGAGAUGUACACAUAGAAGACUUUUGUUAUGUCCUGCUUCAUUUCCCUCCUGGAAGAUGCAUCAACCUCUACGCCCACCAGCAGCCAAGUGCUAAUUUUUGAAAGUACACUGUAAUGCAUCCAAUGUAGACAAUGGUGUGGGUGAAUUUAAAGCUGCUUUUUAGUAAAUUCACAAGGAAAUAUCUGAGUCGGUUAAAAAGAAGUUCCUCUUUUCCGACUACAUUUCCAGUCAUAGGAACAAUGAGAUCCUCGGGAAGAUACAAAAAUGAAUGUGACAACCCUGGCGUACGACUGCUUCAGGAAAUCUUCAUGUGAGUGAACUGCAUGGAGUCUCACCAGAGAGGACUCUUUUUGAGUUUUGUGACAUGGAUGUCCUUCUAAGUCUCUGGAACAUUCCAAUAGACCAAAUUUGGAAAAGAAAGCCAUUACAUUGUGGAAAAUUUAAAGGCUAAGACAUUCCAAAGACAAAUGAUGAAUCGAAAACAGUAUCGACAAAAUUUAACUUCAGUUUAUAGCCGACAAACUGCUACAAUUUUGCACAUGGGUGCACAUGUGGAAGCUUUUCCAUAAGAGACAGCAGCCACCACAAAUAUUUGUGAAGAUGUGCUUUCUCCUUUGUCUAGGGUUUACGCUCUCCAGUUUAGAUUGAAUUCAUGUGGUAUCCUGGGUUGUUCAUUGUUGUAAUGUUUUACUUUGUUCGGAAAUUGAUGCUAUUGUCAUUCAACUCUCUGAGUGACACAUCAACACAGCCUUCUUUGAGUGCCAAGCAAUAUGGAUUACAGAGUAAACACAGUGCAGAAACCACAAGUUCUCAAGCCUGCAAAUCACGAUUAGUUCAGCAAGAAUCCAGGACACUGAAGGAAAGAUGAAGAGAAACAACCCUUCAAAAGUGAAGAAGGAGCAAUUAUCACCUCUAUAUAUUUUGAAUCAUACUCUAGGAAAUGUUAGAAUAAAAGAUGAAAAUUGGUGAGUUCAAUAUUAUUUUUAUUGGAAUAAAUGUUCAGGUGGAAUGUCAAUUUAUUUUUGAGUACACAAUCUUGCCAAAUCUAAAACAUUCAUAAAUAGAACUUUUAAAUUUGAUCUCUUGCCUUGUCAAGAAUUCUCAUACUACUUUUCUAAAAUAAGAUAUCUACCUAAUAAUGGAAGUAUUUAUCUCAAAUUCAGUAUUUAAAUCGCUACUUUGAAUGACUCCUGAAAUUAAUCUAAUCUGAAGUUUAUAUAUCUUUGUAAAUUUUUUUUUAUUUUGACAACAUAGUUUCAUAAGCUAUGAUUAGUUUGGGGGUUUUGUGGGCGUAGUGUACAAGAUAACCAGGUGGAAAAGUUUUUGACUUAUCAAAGCCGCACUUUGAGAAGUAAGGAAAUGCAGCCUUCUUGACUGGUAUCUCCAUAAUUAUUUGUACAAUUUUCUGAGCUGUUUGACAAAUUCCCAUUUGUCUUUAAAAUAAGAGGACCAUAGGGAGAACGACCUCAGGCCUUCAAGGUAUUUUAAAAAUCUUUCUUGUACAAACAAUAUUUAAGCCAGAGGGGGAAAAAUUGAUACUUUUUGGAAUUUUAGGUCAGAUCAUAAUAUUACUACUCCGAAUCCACUGAAAUUUUGGCUCUAAGGGACAUUUUGACAUCAUUCUUACUCUCUCUGAAUUAACAUUUAAAUAUUUAUGCAAUUUUUCAGUCUAGAAGAGGAACUGUAAGACUUCCCUGAAUGAGAGGUUAAGCAAAGGUUAUGAUGUUACAAAUUAGAACUAAAUACGACACCGAUACUGAGAAACUGGAAUCCUGUUAGUUAGACUAAUAAUGAAUCAAGUCAAUGAGACAAAGGGUCCCUCAAGGUGAAGUUUGCUGGAGUCUGAAUAUAAAUGGCCAUGUUAUUAAUAAUGCAUCCAUUCAUGAAAAUGCUGUAAUACUAGUUUAUGCCACAGAAAAGACAAAGUGUGAGUCAGUGUGAAGGUGUGGAUAAAAGAGAAUUAUUUAUGCCUCUCAAUUUAAAGAAAGUUUAAUAAAGGGGUAAAUAAGUUUGCCUAAUCUGUAAUUUAUUUCCCCAUAUUUUUUCCAAACUGAAUAAGAAUUUGGCAUUGUUUUUAUUUUCAGUGAAGUAGUCUUAUUAGUUUAAAAUAAAGCAUUAAAAAAAGUUUAGAUUUCCGGGAUUCAUUUGGAGAAUUAAAUUGUAACAUACCCUAUUUUUAUAAACAGGUUUCACUGUCUUGGUACAUUUCUGCAUAUAUAUGAGGGACCGAAAUAAUGUAAAGUUUACAAUGGUGUUUUUGUCCCUCUACCCAAAGUUUUUAUCCCUGCCCUUAAGUAUAAUUGAAAAUGGACUGUUUUACUAGCCUAUAAUUUUGAAGACACUGUAGAGGUGUACAGAAUUAAAUUUGAACAUUUUCACAAAUUUAAAUCUAUCUUUAUCAUUUUGUUUCACAUUCACAUGUAG
ensembl:lncRNA